GAGGCAUUAAUUCAUCAUUUUAGCUGUAUCUUAUUAUGUCUAAGAUAAUGAUGAACUCCAAAGAUUAAGAUAAUGGUUUUAAAAGAUAUGAAUGGGUCAUGUUGGUGAGAUCUAAAAUUCUAAAAUUCUAAUCUUAAAUAUUCCUGAUCGUAGAAGCAUUGAGUCGGAGAUCAAUAUUUUCGAUAGACUGACAUAUCCUAUGUAUGCUCGAUAGAGAGGGCGGU
rnacentral:lncRNA from 1 species